rnacentral:rRNA from 1 species
GGAUUGUAGUCUGCAACCCGACUACAUGAAGCUGGAAUCGCUAGUAAUCGCGGAUCAGAAUGCCGCGGUGAAUACGUUCCCGGGUCUUGUACACACCGCCCGUCACACCAUGGGAGUCGGAAAUGCCCGAAGUCUGUGACCUAACCGUAAGGAAGGAGCAGCCGAAGGCAGGUCGGAUGACUGGGGUGAAGUCGUAACAAGGUAUC